AGAACGAACGCUGGCGGCAGGCCUAACACAUGCAAGUCGAACGCGCGUAGCAAUACGCGAGUGGCGCACGGGUGAGUAACACGUGGGAAUCAACCCUGAGGUUCGGAAUAACCGCGGGAAACUGCGGCUAAUACCGGAUGUCCCCUAUGGGGGAAAGAUUUAUCGCCUUGGGACGAGCCCGCGUCCGAUUAGCUAGUUGGUGAGGUAAUGGCUCACCAAGGCUACGAUCGGUAGCUGGUCUGAGAGGAUGACCAGCCACACUGGAACUGAGAUACGGUCCAGACUCCUACGGGAGGCAGCAGUGGGGAAUAUUGGGCAAUGGAGGCAACUCUGACCCAGCCAUGCCGCGUGGGUGACGAAGGUCUUCGGAUUGUAAAGCCUUUCGGCGGAGACGAUGAUGACGUAUCCGCAAGAAGAACGCCCCGGACUAACGUUCGUCGCCAGCACGCCGAC
rnacentral:rRNA from 1 species